rnacentral:rRNA from 1 species
AUGGACCAGUUCCUCGUCGCGGCGCCGCCUUCCGCCGACGAGGGCCCCGAAGCGCCACGACCGCCGCCUCGGAGGUGGCACCGGUGGAGCCGUAUCGCCGUGGAGCUGGACGGCCACAUCGACGCCAGGUUUCGACAUCGGGAAUCCCGCCGUCUCCUCGAUUCCCUUGCCGAGAUUAGGACCUUCGAACACAAGUACUACACGCAUGGCGAGGAACGGUGCACGACAUAUGUGAAUCGCAUGAUUAAUGCUUCAACAUUUGCUGGGUGUUACCAUUCAGCUAGGGAGGGGGUUUCGGCAAUGGAAUUCGAUAAAAAGGGAAUAUACCUCGCAUCAGUGACAAACUCAGGAUGUUUAACAGUGCAUGACUUUGAGACCUUAUACUGCUCCUUGUAUGGCCCAUUAUGUCGUAUACCAGAUGACUCAUCAAACUAUGUGCUCCAUAUAUCAAACUCAAUGCCUCUAUGUGCUGUCCGAUGGAAUCCAGGAAAUCAAGACGAGAUUGUUUGCUCAUCUAGCCAAACUGACAAAGUUUUACUGUUUGACAUUGGGUACGUCUCAUCUGCUCCGACUGAAGUUUUACAGAAAGGGAUGACCAAAUUUCAUGGUUUCUGCUCGGAAUCCCGGAAGGGUUUGACUGAUCUAGCUUUUACUCCAGACGACAAGUCACGGCUAUUUGCUUCUGGACUUGAUGGUGCAGUCUACAUGUGGGACAGGCGGCUAAGUAAGACACACUGUGUUGAGCUUACAGCACUCCUAGAAUCUCAGUUUACCAGUGUCAAGCUAAAUAUGGAUAAUCGGACAGUGUUUGGUGCAACUAGAAAUGGGACCAUUCAUGUUUGGGAUACACGUGGAGGGAGGGCAUCAGCUGCUUUUCAAAGUCAUAAUGAGGUUCAACCUUUGUCAUCAGUGAAGAUAUCAACGUUGUUGGGAAAAAUUGCAUCGCUGAAGGAACAAUCAAACAUUGUUUCAAGUGAAAUUCUGUCGAUAGACUUUAACCCUAGUUGCUCAUAUCAGUUAGCCUUCCAUCUUGAUGAUGGGUGGUCUGGAGUCCUGAAUGUCAACACUUUCAGUGUUAGUCAUCUGCACUGCCCUCCUCCUGCUUGGUUGGAGGGCGUGGACUCUGUGUUGCAUAAGCGGAAAGCCACCUGGCUGUCGACAUCUUCAAUUUAUGCAGUCGGAUCUUCCUCCAAUAAUGGAAUAUAUGCACUGGAUUUUCAUCCAGAUACAAGCUCCACAUGCCAUGUGGACUACAAUGAGGAAACAAAAGGCUCCGAGGAAAAUCAACCUGCAGAAAACAAGUUUAUUCCCUUAUCCGAAAGGGUGCUUUCCUGUGCAGCCCAUCCACUCAGUCAUGACAUAAUUUGUGGUACCGAGUUCUCGUCGUUGCUCAUGGUAUCACAAAAGUAUGAGACCGUCAGAGAUCCAGAGUAG